rnacentral:rRNA from 1 species
UACAGAGGGGGCAAGCGUUAUUCGGAAUUAUUGGGCGUAAAGGGCGCGUAGGCGGCCUGGCAAGUGGAAGGUGAAAUCCCUCGGCUUAACCGAGGAACUGCCUCCCAAACUGCUUGGCUUGAGACCAGGAGAGGUGAGUGGAAUUCCCAGUGUAGCGGUGAAAUGCGUAGAUAUUGGGAGGAACACCAGUGGCGAAGGCGGCUCACUGGACUGGUACUGACGCUGAGGCGCGAAAGCUAGGGGAGCGAACGGG